UCCCCCCUCCCCUCAUCCCAGUCUUCGCCGAUUAGGGACAGCAAGUUCAAAUGUGCAAGUAAAAUGCAAGCUGAAAGGCAGGGAGACAAGGCAGUUCUGAAACUAGGUUAGAGAUUAAACGAGCCUGAUACUUGGCAGCUGUAGGCAAGGUUGGAUUGCCCUAGGGAAAGGGCUCAAAAUGAUUAAUGAAUUGGUGUUAUUAGCCUAUCAUGGGAUUGCAAUUCUGUUUGAAUCCUGAAGACUGAAAUUGAGAGGAGCUGUGUGGGUGUGAAUGAUGUACUGUAGAAGAAAGCUCAAGAACAGUUUCCCAGAAGGCAAGUAGAUCCCUUAAGGCAGCCUCAUGUUUGUUUUACUGCACCAUGUAGUCUAAAAUAUGCCCUUCACUACCAGUGGAUUGAUUCAUCAGCUGAUAUUGGGAUUUACCAUCUGCAAAGCUGUCCUUUCUCAGUUUAGGAGGCUCAGGAAACAAAGGAGCAGGCAGAAUUAACCUCCCAGCGAGGAUUACAAUCUCCCGUGUUAAUCCAGCCAGACGGCCUGAUCCACGGUGACUGCCCUCAAAGGCACUGUGUUGUACCAGUUCUGGAAAGUCUUUGCUCCGUGAAUCCUCCACAGCUUCAGGUAAUUACAGGAGAGGAUCUUGCUGGAGGUCUUUAAAACAGGAAUUGGGCAUGAGACACUUGAAACACUGGAAGUUAAAUCUGAAGAUUUAGGUUUUACCUUACGUUUAGAUUCAGAUUACCUUAAACAUUAGGAUUUGAAGUUUCUUGCAGGUUAUGAGAUGACCCAGUCUACGUGACGGAUACGCAGAGAUAACUGAUAGCAAACAGCAUUGCCAGAUCUUUUGCUGCAUGUAAUUACAUAUCAGCACAUACCCCUAAGUGAUUAAUUACUGCCUGAUGUGCUUUUGGAGCUGAGGGAGCCCCUCCCUUCCCCAACUCCUUAUUUUUUUCCUUAGGAAGGAGUCUUGUUGGCUUAUAAUUGGGGACGUUUGAGCCAAUAUUAGGAGAACACCAUCUAUAGGGAGUUGUGCCCGCAGUCCAGCUGUGCAAGGCAUGUGAUACACAC
rnacentral:lncRNA from 1 species